GAAAUGCGAUAAGUAGUGUGAAUUGCAGAAUUCAGUGAAUCAUCGAAUCUUUGAACGCACAUUGCGCCCCUCGGCAUUCCGUGGGGCAUGCCUGUUCGAGCGUCAUCUACACCCUCAAGCUCUGCUCGGUGUUGGGCGUCUGUCCCGCCUCCGCGCGCGGACUCGCCCCAAAUGCAUUGGCAGCGGUUCCUUGCCCCCCUCUUUGCGCAGCACAUUGCCAUUCGAGGCGGCGGCGGCCCGCGUCCAACAAGCUCAACCCCCCCGUCUUUGACCUCGGAUCAGGUAGGGAUACCCGCUGAACUUAAGC
rnacentral:misc_RNA from 1 species